rnacentral:rRNA from 1 species
UACGGAGGGUGCAAGCGUUGUUCGGAAUCAUUGGGCGUAAAGCGCGUGUAGGCGGCUUGGCAAGUCAGUUGUGAAAGCCCGGGGCCCAACCCCGGAACUGCAUCUGAAACUGCAGUGCUAGAAUCUUGGAGAGGCGAGUGGAAUUCCGAGUGUAGAGGUGAAAUUCGUAGAUAUUCGGAAGAACACCAGUGGCGAAGGCGACUCGCUGGACAAGUAUUGACGCUGAGGUGCGAAAGCGUGGGGAGCAAACAGG